UACGUAGGCAGCGAGCGUUGUUCGGAGUUACUGGGCGUAAAGGGUGUGUAGGUGGUUCUCUAAGUUUGGUGUGAAAUCUCCCGGCUCAACCGGGAGGGUGCGCCGAAAACUGGAGGGCUAGAGUGCGGGAAGGGAGAGUAGAAUUCCUGGUGUAGCGGUGAAAUGCGUAGAUAUCAGGAGGAAUACCGGUGGUGCAGACGGCUCUCUGGACCGCGACUGACGCUGAGACACGAAAGCGUGGGUAGCAAACAGG
rnacentral:rRNA from 1 species